rnacentral:rRNA from 1 species
UACGUAGGGUGCGAGCGUUAAUCGGAAUUACUGGGCGUAAAGCGUGCGCAGGCGGUUUUGUAAGCCAGAUGUGAAAUCCCCGGGCUUAACCUGGGAAUGGCAUUUGGGACUGCAAGGCUUGAGUUUGGCAGAGGAGACUGGAAUUCCUGGUGUAGCAGUGAAAUGCGUAGAUAUCUGGAGGAAUACCGGUGGCGAAGGCGGCAUCCUGGACCGGCAUUGACGCUGAUGAGCGAAAGCUAGGGGAGCAAACGGG